CGGACGGGUGAGUAAUGUCUGGGAAACUGCCCGAUGGAGGGGGAUAACUACUGGAAACGGUAGCUAAUACCGCAUAACGUCGCAAGACCAAAGAGGGGGACCUUCGGGCCUCUUGCCAUCGAGAUGACCCAUAUGGGAUUAGCUAGUAGGUGGGGUAACGGCUCACCUAGGCGACGAUCCCUAGCUGGUCUGAGAGGAUGACCAGCCACACUGGAACUGAGACACGGUCCAG
rnacentral:rRNA from 1 species